GCCCGUGAUCACCUCUACCUUGGCCCUUAAAACUUAAAAGAUCUCCUUCUCCUCCUCCAACAACUCUCUCUUCUCUGCAUCUCUCUCUUCACUAUAGCUGCUAGAUAUGCAAUCACCAACUAUGGAAUAAGAUUCCACCAUCGUAAUAGCUGCUAUAGUUGCCAUCCUGAUCUUACUGUUAUUCGUAUUCGCCAUCAUCGUUUGCAUCUCCUGCAUCAAGAAGCUGAGGUGUCGAUACCACAUUAACCCUGCUCUCGAAAUCGAACAGAAUUCUCCAAGCAUCCUCGUGCAAAUGGCAGUCCUAUCGAGCAACUAACCUCGACAUAAGGAACUCUCCUUGGUUCGUUAUUAUUGUUAUAACCCUUUAUCUGAUGUUACUACUGGAGUGACGAUACGGGUGUUGUUAUAGCCCAUUAUCAUUAUAACAACAAUAACAACACAUAAAGGGUUAUAAUAAUAAUAACGAACUUGGCGGAACCUUCUGUGUCGAGAUAGGUUGCUCGACAGAACUGUCGCCUGCGUGACGACGCUUGGAGAACUCUGCUCAAUUUCGAGAGCAGAAUUAAUGUCAUAUCGGUGCCUCGACUUCUUGAUGCAGUAGAUGAAAAUGAUGAUGAUGAAUACGAGUAGUGGCAAGAGCAAGAUGACAACUAUGGCAGCUAUUACGAUGGUGGAAUCUUGUUCAAUAGUCGGUGAUUAGAUAUUGCUGGCUUGAGCAACCAUGGUGAAGGGAAGGAGGAGAAGAGAAAGGAGAGUUGUUGGAGAAGAAGAAUGAGAAGAUCUUUUAAAGAUUGGAAAAAUAUUCGGUGAUGUAGAAGAGUUUCUUGAGUUUCUUGCUUCCACAUCAGUAACAAUUGGUUAUACCAUGAUGGGUGAAGCCACCAACCUUGAUGCGUCUCUAACCAUAUAAUAAGAUUUCUUGCCAUUCUUUGUGAAUACAAUGUGUUUAAGCCCUAAUUUUAAGGGCUUUGAUUAGCCUAUGUAGCUAGAGGGAAGGGAUCUAGAGGAGGUUUGAUACCACCCAACCUCACUCAAAUGUUUUUAAUUAAGUUGCAGGCGGGGACUUGAAUGGGCCAACACACUUGAUCCUUGCAAGAUUUUGUGCAAGAGUAUCCAAACAAAAGAGACGAGAUAUCCUAGCAGAGACACAUGCCAUGUUGAAUGACUUGUGAUUAUUGCAUAAACAUCAUUAGAUGAUCUUGCCGCUAAAACUCGACCCGAAGGUAAAAGGUUGCUGGCGGAUCCAUGCGAGAAGAAAAAGAUCUAAUUUAAAGAAGAAGAGCUUGAAGGCCGGCGAGCUGAUCCGACCGAAAGGGGUUUUAGAAAAUAGCGGAGAAAAAUAAAAUAUGGAAUAAUAUAGAUAGAGCAUACCUGAUACAUUGAGUUGAGUUUCUCUUCUUUUGUUUUUUUUCAUUGGUGAAGGGCUCAGGAUUGACUCCAGAGUUUGGGCUCAAGUGUAGCGGGGAUUCUCUUUGUCCAUAAAUCCAAAUCCAAUUAAAAUAGCUCCCCUUCGGUGCCACCACGUAUCAGUCCGCGGUUGGCUUGCCACCUUACUUAAAGCAAGGCGUUGGCACUCUUCAGACCAUACGAAAUUUUUGGACUUCUUGAAAAUUUUGGAGAAAAGGAGACAUCGCUCCGCUGACCGGACGACGAAUCUUCUAAGAGUUGUCAUCCGACCAGUGAGCUGCCACACUUCGUGGAUUAUUUUUGAUGGUACUAUUUUUUGUAAUGUCCGAAUUUUUUUGAGGUUAGCUUCAAUUUUUUGUUGUGUCAUCAUGAAGUCAAAAAAAAUUUACUGGGAUGACUCCGGUCUCCGGAAGGCAAUCAUGCGACAGCUCCGCUGGAAGAAGUAUCCUGAAGGCCCUUGGACGUCAAAUCGGUACUCCUCCUCAGGUGCCAAGGGGUUUCGUGAUUUGAUUGGCAACUCCGUUUGGACUUUCAGUUCUAAGAAAUCGAAGAGACGUCGACGGAGCGGACUCUGGGUUCGAGUGUUCGGACCGAUAUGCUGUUUCAACGGGCGUGAUCACUCUAUCACCUGCUUCUGCUAGGCUUCAAAUUCCAGUUCUUGAAGUAACCACGACAACCACCCCAAAUAAACUUCCCCAAGAUUGGACCAAACUCAUAAAAAAAGACUCCUUUUUUAUUCUUAUUUUUUGUCGACGACUGGGGAGGGAGCUGCCUGGAUUUGUAUUGGUUUCGUUCAAAUUUUAUAUAUCCAUCUCUCUCCAAUCCGAGUUUGGUUUGAUCGAGAUCGCGGGGUCUCUGGUUCCAAAAGCCUCCCAGAGUUGCAAGGACCAUGGGUCAUCACCAUCGCCACCACCAUGACCAUGAGAAGGAUAGCCCAUUUGAUGAUCCCUUCUUGGCCUGCUGUUGCUGCCCCUGCUAUCUUGCUACCUGUUUUUUAAGGGGGAUUGGGAGGUGCCUGUUUGUGGCCUGCUACCCCUUCUUGCAGUGCUUUGGAUUGGAUGAAUGCCGGCAUCGCCACCAUCAUCACCACCACAGUCAUUUCGCUUGAUUUUAUCUGGCAAUUUAGUCUCACCGGCCAUGGAUUUGUUAAUAAGCUUUAAAUGUUCCAGAAGCUCUGUUUAAUGCUGUGAUCAGGCUUCUUGUGUGUUGAUGAUAUGGGAUUACAUGAGCUGCUAAUUUGGCGCAUAAAUUCAAUAAGAAGGGAUUCAUGAGUCUUCUUCUGUGUUCUUACUUCA